rnacentral:rRNA from 1 species
CCUACGGGGGGCUGCAGUGGGGAAUUUUGGACAAUGGACGGAAGUCUGAUCCAGCGACGCCGCGUGAAGGAAGAAGUCCUUCGGGAUGUAAACUUCUGAACUUAUCGAAUAAAGACAACUGGGGACAGUUGGAUGAAGGUAGAUAAAGAAAAGCCCCGGCUAACUACGUGCCAGCAGCCGCGGUAAGACGUAGGGGGCGAGCGUUGCCCGGAAUUACUGGGCGUAAAGGGGGCGUAGGCGGUCAAAUAAGUCAGAUGUGAAAUACUACUGCUCAACGGUAGAAAUGCGUUUGAAACUGUAAGACUUGAGGGUACCAAAGGUAGACGGAAUUACCUGAGUAGGGGUGAAAUCCGUAGAUACAGGUAAGAACGCCAGUGGGGAAGCCGGUCUACUGGGGUAACCCUGACGCUGAGGCCCGAAAGCUAGGGGAGCGAACCGGAUUAGAUACCCCAGUAGUC